CACCUGAGAGCUCCUCUGGGCCCGCCCUGCUUCAGCCGCCAGCACUGCACCUGCGCUCUGCAGUCCCUCCCAUCACAGCGGAGGUCUGGCAGCACAUCCCUGCCUGCAGCUGCAGACCGAGGCGGUGCUCCCAGCUCUCGAAGCUUCUCAAGGAAUCCGGCAAUAGCCGGUGACGCCUGGACCCCCGAGCCCUGACUGAGUCUUUGCAGGCUGGGCUGGGUGGGGUGGGGGGAGGCAGGCCCCUGCAGGCCCCCCUCCCUCUGCAACAGAGCUGGCUGCCCCAGCCUGUGAUUUGUGUUUACACAGGCUCCACAAUGAGGUGUGGCACUUAAUGAAAGGGCUCUGUCACUUACCCAGUGAAACAGGGAGUCUGAAGGCCAAAGAACUGGUUACUUCUUGUACGUGAGGCAGGACGAUCUGAGCUCCGGCCCGGACGGAGGGCGAGCACUCGGCUCCCUUCAGUUCAGCACAGAGGAGCAGACCUGCUGCUGAGCUGCCGUGCAGCACGAGCUGGGGGAGCGGGAAAUCAUGACCCACAGGCUUGUCUUCAGAGAGCCUGUUGAGGGUGGCAUGUGAUGGGCACCUGAGCACCCAGAUACAGUUGAGGUGCAUAAAGAGAAGGAGUAUGAUGUGCAAGGCACACACCUGUACUCAGCUGAGUGCCACAAUACACAGAAGCCCGAAAUAGCUGUCGGAAGCCGGUGGCGGCUGCACUGCUGCUCCUAAUAUACACUUCCUUGCACCUGUGUCCUGAGCCCUUUGCCGAGUGACUUGGCUGUGCCCCUGGUGAGAAGAGGACUUUAAGGAAACUACAUCAUCAUUACGAAGACUGGGGAGCAACAGCGUCAUGGGCACCGCUCUGCUCUGCAUGAAGGAGUCCGACAGCUGCCAGCGGGGAGCUUUGGUGGUGCCAAAUCCCCUGGAGAGAGGAGGCUGCAGCCCCAGGCAGCAGGGAGCCCUGGAGGAAGCUGCCUCUGCAGACUCGCGGGAAUGCCAGCUCCGGGUUUCAUUCCUUUGUUCACUGCUGCUUCCCAAGUGCCAGACGGAGCCUGGAACUCAGUGGCUGCUCUAAAGAUACUGUUGAAUGAGUAAAUGAACGGAAUUGCACAGGAGCGAGGCCACAGUUCUACAGCUGAGCUGCCUGUCACGGCCCUCACCCAACCACCACUGCUGGAAAUGUGCAGACAGGGUGUGCCUCUCCCGUUUAAGGGAAAUGUAUUGAGAUAUCAUUCACAUACAUGGCACGUGCUCAGGGAGCCCCCCAGGAUGACAGAGCUCACCCAUCACCCCACAGAACGUCUCUGCCCCAUCCAGGCAGGCCCCAGAGUACACUGGGUCUGGCUUCUUUAGUCAGAGGUGGUUUGAGUGAGUCUAGAGACUUCAUAGAAUCUGGGUCACAGAGCAGGCACCCUUUUCCAUCUGGUGUCUUCCACUCAGCGUAGCGGUCCCGAGAUCCAGCGUGUCUCUGCUAGGAUCAGCGGUUUGCUCCUUGGUGUUGCUGAGGAAAAUUCUACUGCAUGGAACACCACCAUCUAUCCACACUGGAUAGACACCAGAUGAGUGCUUCCGCCUGCUGUGAAUGAAGCUCCUAUGAACAGUCUCAUAUUAGGUAUGAAAGGAAAAUAAAUCAAUCACUAAACAAAGGGGAAAGUCAAGCUGGGAGCUGCCUCCCAUCCUAUUCCUAAAUAAGAUAGCUACAAAGAUAAAAACGCUGUUCCUCCCUCACAAUUUGCUCACAAGGAACUUCCUUGUGGAACAAGGACAGACAGAACUCAAUCAUCCCUCCGCUCACAUGAGACAAACACAGAUCGGAAUGCUUCCUCCGCCCUGUUGUUUCACCCAGCCAGACUAAGGCAUACGUAACUAUUCCAGUAAAUUGUGCAUUCGGUGAAAGGCUAAUCAGAAACUUAAAAGAAUGCAGCCAUUUGUCUCUUAUCUACCUACAACCUGGAAGCCCCCUGCGCGCUUUGACUUGUCCUGUCUUUCCAGAUAGAACCAAUGUACAUCAUACAUAUAAUGAUUGAUGUCUCAUGUCUCCCUAAAAUGUAUAAAACCAAGCUGUUCCCCGACCACCAUCACCAGGACCUCCUGAGGCUGUGUCACGGCACGUCCUCAACCUUGGCAAAAUAACUUUCUAAAUUUAUUGAGACUUGUCUCAGAUACUUUUUGGUUUACAAAGGUGUUUGUGGACAUGUAUAUUCAUUUCUCAUAGAUAAGUACCUAGAAGUUGAAUUGCUUAGACAUGAGUAAAUGUAUGUUUAACUUUUUCAGAAACUCCCGAACAUAUUUCCAAACUAUACCGUUUUACACUCUGUCAGCAGAAUUUAAAAGUUUCCACUGAACCACAUCCUUGUCAACGUUUGGUAUUGUCAAUAUGUUUAAGUUAUUGAUAUUGUUCUAGUGAAUGUGUAGAGACAUCUCGUUUUGGUUUUAAUUUGCAUUUUCCUAAUGAGGAAUAAUACUGAGAAAUUUUUUCUUUCAUAUUGUCAUAUAUGUGUCUUCUUUCUUAAAGUGCCUAGUCAAAUAUUUUGCUCAUUUUUUAUUGCUUUUUAUUAUAAACUGUGUUUUUUUAAAUAUUAUCUUAACACACGUCUUUUGGCUGAUAUAAUAUUGUAAAUAUUUUCUCCCAUUCUGUGGUCUACUUAUUGUUUCCUAAUGCUGUCUUUUGAAGAGCAAAAUAUUUUUCUCCAUUUAUGGAGACAAGAUGGUCAACUUAGCUAUUCCAAAAUGUUUUUAAAAUUCUAGUUUGUUUUAAAACAACCACAGCAAACUGCAUGGAUUUGUUCCACAUCUUUGAAAGAAAAACAUUAUUUUAUUUAUUUCACAGUGGAAGAUAAGUCAGUAAGGCCCCACUUCGGCAGGUUUUGUUUUCGUUUCCUCAUGCCUCUGCAAUGCUCGGAGUCACCCACGCCUUACUCACUGCGGCUGGAACGAACCCAGACUCCUCACUCCUCCCACAGCCUCUGGCGCAGGGCGCUCCUUGCUUGAAAGAAACGUUUGCGAUUUUUAGUGGAAACGUCCGUGUUUUCUUGGUAACUGGUAAAUGGCUGUAGAUUACUGACACGCGGUCCUUUGUACGUAACAGAAGGCUUUGAGUGUUUCUGUGAGGAUCACCCUGUGAAGAAACGGCUGCAGUGAGAGCAGCCGAGGCGGGACGCAGCCCCGGACGUGGGGUCAGAGAGGAGCCGUGCGUGGGGUCAGAGAGGAGCCGUGCGUGGGGUCAGAGAGGAGCCGUGCGUGGGGUCAGAGAGGAGCCGUGCGUGGGGUCAGAGAGGAGCUGAGUUCAGGACGGGCAUGGCAGCCGCAGGAGGAGGGCAAGGCGGAGCCCAGGAGGGGCAAAGUGGACAAAGCCAGGGCUGGAGAGGGGAGACCCAGGAUCAGCACCACGUUCCACGGGGAUGGCACAGAAGCCUGAGAGGCCACGGCCAAAUGUGGAAAUUGGCUUUGCCAAAUCUUGCAUUUCAGAGAGAAAAGGCAAUAUGGCAUUAAUGCUUGCCUUGUUUAAUUUUCGUAAUUUUCCCUUUCUUCCUGCCAAUAGCUUGCUUUGUUAUCCGGAGGGUAGCCACGGUUUUAGCUCACAGUGAUGUCAACUUGAAGCUUCUCUCCACAAGCAGCUGUGACCUCAGCUGCCGUGCAGUCAGCUUCCCCGGCCUCCCUCCCCAGCCUCCCUGGUCUCCCAGGCACAAGGCUGGGCACUGGCUUCAGAGUGGCUGCAAGGGCACGGCCCCCAGGCCUAGGGCUGAUCAGCGUGAACAGUACCCAGCACACUUGCUUCAAAAAGUAAGAAGAUAUAGAACACAAGCUGCUUGUUCUCAUGACUAUAGCACAAACUAUAAAACAAAACAUCUUCCUCCAGAACACGGCAAGCUGGAUGGACAGUGAUCUGGACAAAAAUUUGCUGUAGGUUUUGUAACUGGGGUUCAGUGAGGACCAGGCUCCCCAGAGCAUACAUGUGGAGACAAUUAAGUUGAUCCCAUUUUCCAAGACUCAGAGGAGAUGUAUUUAUAUUAGGAAUAUAAACUUGCUAUUAAUGCAACUUCAGAAUGUCCAGGUCAUCCGUUGGGAAAAAAAAAAGAGUAAGUCUAGGGCUGGUUCGUGCUGUUGCUACAUGGAGGGAAUCCACAUCCAAGCCUGCCGCUCACAUGCUGGGACACAUUGCCUCAGCCUCCAUCUCUGGGAGUCCCACGCUUUCUCUCCUGGGUUGUCCCACUAUUCCUUUUGAAGUCCUCAUGUUAGUGACAGUUCAAUUUUCUCUUCACCUUCAAAAUUGCAGAGAACCUAAUUUCUACUGACCAGUCAAGCUUGUUUCAUUUAUCUUCCAUGUUAACUUCAAUUAAAAUGUUAACCAUCUGGAAUCUUUGGCCUCUUAUGUGACAAAAAUAGGCAUUAAAUUGUAUCAUUUCUUAAAUUCUCUGUUGAAAAGUCCAAAUACGUUACUGAAUAUGAUACAGAUUAGUAAGAAUUUGGGCUCAUUAAAUGUAAGAUAAUUUCAUAGCUUAAGGUAAUUUCACACCCCAAGGGACUUAUAACCUAAACACAAAGCAGAUCACCAACAUUAACUGUCAGCUGUCCACUGGAGAACUAUCUCAGACAAAAAAAUAAAAUUUGGAUUAGCUCUCCAUGGUGCACAAUACUUUCAUGAACCAUCUCUUUUGGGUUGGCAGCUGCAGUGUGUUCUGAGAGUAUGUUAAUGCUACAAUAACAGUAAAAAUAAAAUUAAGUUGGGAACAUACAGAAAAAAAGAAAUUGAUUACAUUAUUCCUAAUGACGACCUGAAUCAAAGUUGGCACUAAAUAAAUUUUUGUCAGAAAGGAGAAAAGAAAUGAGAGAAAUAAAAGAGAGGAGGCAGGAUUUUAUAUUCUGCUCCCUUUUUGGAAAA
rnacentral:lncRNA from 10 species